UUUCUCUCGGUGAAAAGCAGGCUGGCCUCACGGCAGAAGCGAAACGGGGAACCUCAUAAACACGCUGAAAGUUGCUCUAAACGCUUGUUUAUUGGGAAAUUAUCGUCUUUGUAGUUACCGCUUAUUUUUACAAGAAAGCUUCACGAAGCAAGAAAAACAAGCCUUGUAUGCAGAGUUUUCUUCAUUGGUUCGCUGGCUGUCUAGCAGCAUACAGACACGUGUUGUGAGGACAGCACACCCUGCUUCACCUGAAGGCAGCUGGGAUAGGCUCCAGCAUGCCCGCAACCUUGAGAUACUUGAACCUCCUCCACCUGGGGCGGGACCUCCAAUCCAGAGGCUGCAAUCCACUCUUUUUCCGAAUUGGAGGUGCUGAGUUUCAUUCCAGAAUCUUCACAACUCAGCUGCAAAACGCUCCAGUAAACACUGAAGGUCACAGCCCAAUGAGGCCAUCAGGAUCACAUCAUCUGGGAAUAACAUACGUGAUCCUAAAGCCCCCCAAACUGGACCCACUUUGACGCCUUUACCGCGCUUAGGAAUUCUUCAAAAAUUAUGAACAGAAUCGGUGACAAAGGGCAGCCUUGACGGAGGCAAACGUUCAUCGGAAACGUGCUUGACUUACUGCUGGCAGUGCGAGUAUCAGGUUUGUCUAUUCUGGGUUGUAGUAGAAUACAUUUACAGCAGUAUUUGGGAAGCUGAGAGUAGUUAUCAUUAUGGACAAGUAUGCCUUAAGGGUUAAUGAAGCCAUAAUCACCGGAGGCAGUGGGUGACUGGAUAAUCCUGAGUAUAAUCCCGAUGUCUAAUCUUCAAUGCCCACCGUUUCUCCAGCAGCUCCUGGAGGAAGUGUGUGUCUACUUGGUACACAAUGGAGAAUAAGAUGGCCCGGAAUAAAAAAUAAGCCCUAGGUGCCAUACGGGCAGUACUUUGCCCGACUCUACUGCAUUGAUGGGUGAUCUCGUAUGGAGACAGCUGUGGGAAUAUAAGAACUAACGUCCGGCUCGAGGGCCAUUUGUGUGUCAUAGCUUGUGUUUUCUUGGCCUGCAUACAACGGUAUGAAGUAUGAUUAGGCCAAGCAAUAAAAAUUAAUUGUAAUUGAAUGAAAAACGGCGUUUGUGAAGUGGUUAGCGCACUGGCCUCACAGCUAGGAGACCAGGGUUCAAUUCCACCCGAGGCCAUCUCUGUGUGGAGUUUUCUCAAGAGUACUCCGGUUUCCUACCACAUUAUUGACAGUUACUAUGGUACCGAUUAUGUCAUUGUAUGGUCAUAUCACCUCGUACGUGACAAAAAUAAAAUAAAAAAAACUAUAUUAGGAAAGCAGGAAGUGAACAAAUGUAACAGUUACUGAUUGUAAAAGUACCAGAUGGAGGGGUAGGAUUUAAUAAGCUUUGCUUCUUCCUACUCCUUUUGGACAUGUGGAACUGUGAACUGAUUAUGGGAUGCAUUCAAUUGUAAUCUGAUGCAUGUUCAAAUGAAAUAAAACCAUUAACAUUAACAUUCCAAAAACAUGCUAGGUUAAUUGGCAACUCCAAAUUGUCCAUAGGUAUGAAUGUGAGUGUGAAUGGUUGUUUGUCUAGAUCUGCCCUGUGAUUGGCUGGCCACAAGUCCAGGGUGUACCCCGCCUCUCGCUUGAAGACAGCUGGGAUAGGCUCCAGCACCUCCGCAUCCCUCAUGAUGAAAAGCGGUAGAAAAUGAAUGAAAAAGUCAUCCUAAUAGCAAUAAGUUUUGCCAUCAUAACAUAUUUCUUUACCUAAAUUGUCUAUCGUUAAAAAAGUGAAGAACAUCAAAGUGGAACCUGCAUCCUUUAAAUGUAUUCUAGACAGGGCUCAGUGGAAAAGUUUGGCCACCCCUGAAGUUGUGAAUAAUAGAAAUGACUGACACCAGCUAUCUUCUCCUCCCAAAGAGAUCAUAAGGACCCCCUUGCUCUGAAUCCAUAUAGUAAGACUUUUCAACAUGUAGGAAGCCUUAAAGCGUCUGGAAUCUUUGAAAGUGUCACGCAUACAGAGAUGAAGUGAAGUUGCGAGGAUGUCUGAGAGAAUAAGAAGUGUAGAGAGCGGCAGAGAACAGGAUUGUACCGACGACAAGUUGCUGUUGAGUUGCUCCUAAUUGGCUCGCUUUCAUUCCGUAGUCUUUGUGACAAGGUGACAGUCAGAUGUGCGAUGAUCUUUUUCUCCUUGAUGAAAAGUGACACCAAAAGCAUGUGGGUGGACGCUGCCUUUGUAGUAUGUGUGCAUGUGCAAGCACUGCCUGACAGGAAACCACCAAUGGGAAUGAAAAGGACGCUGACAAUGAUUAUUUAAAAAAAAUACACGUUUUUGGAGUUAAUAAACAGAAUUAGUGGGUAAAAGAGUAAGAAACCGCAUCUGGCAACAUUAAAUAGUGGAGGAUCUCCAUGAAUUUACCAAAUUUUUUGACGAUCAUGUCACAUAUUUUAUCAUCGUUUUCGUGAAAAUUUAUUUAUAAUUUAAUUUGUGCUUAAGUUUAAGCGGGGUGGUGUUGUAUAGCAACAAUUCAUUGAGCUGAGCUUGUGAAACAAGCACAUAAGUUGAUGUCUGUAAGUCAUGUGCAAUUAUAAUUAGUAUAUGAUACCUGUGUGUAUUGAGAAAUGCCAUAUUUUAGACAGUUUGUUGUAUUAUUAUUUUGUUUUAUUAAUAGGGACAGUAAUUGUAGAGACUAUACUGUGUCAUCCACUG